rnacentral:rRNA from 1 species
AUGGCUGGAUAUAUGUCACGAGGACCCCCAAAUGGCUCUAUUUAUGUAUGCAAUCUGCCUCCUGGAACUGAUGAGACCAUGUUGGCUGAAUAUUUUGGCACCAUAGGGUUGCUAAAGGUAUGGGUCUUACCAGAUUUGUCAUUUCUUCUUGUCAUAUCUCAACAGAAGGACAAAAGGACUGGCCAUCCAAAGAUUUGGAUAUACAGGGACAAAGUUACAAAUGAACCAAAGGGUGAUGCAACUGUCACAUAUGAAGAUCCCCAUGCUGCUUCAGCUGCUGUGGAAUGGUUCAAUAAUAAGGAUUUCCAUGGAAGCAUCAUCCAGGUUCACAUAGCUGAGUCAAAAAACAAAGAUACGGUUGAUAACUUCACCAAUGUGAGCGUCGAUGCUGAGAUUGUUGGACAAGAUGAAUUGGAUAAUGGAUCAGGCAGAGGUAGAGGACGUGGUGAUGGUCCAGCAAAAGCUUGGCAGCAAGAUGGAGAUUGGAUGUGUCCAAAUACAAGCUGCGGCAAUGUAAAUUUUGCCUUCCGUGGUGUUUGUAAUCGUUGUGGAGCCUCUCGCCCUGCUGGUGUUAGUGGAUCAGGUGGUGGUGGUGGUAGGGGUAGAGGCCGUGGUAGUGAUGAUGCAAGAGGCAGUCGUGCUGCUGCUGCUGUUGGUGGUCCUCCUGGGCUGUUUGGUCCUAAUGAUUGGCCAUGUACGAUGUGUGGCAAUGUAAACUGGGCAAAGCGGACCAAAUGUAAUGUCUGUAACACCUCUAGGCCAGGUCACAAUGAAGGUGGUGUGAGAGGUGGCCGGGGUGGCGGCUUUAAAGAACUUGAUGAAGAAGAACUGGAAGAAGUACGGAGGCGCCGGAAAGAAGCUGAGGAGGAUGAUGGAGAAAUGUAUGAUGAAUUUGGUAACCUCAAAAAGAAGUUCCGUGCUAAAUCACAUCAAACUGAGAGUGCACCAACUCUUCCUGGGUCUGGACGUGCUGGAUGGGAAGUCGAGCACCGUGGUUCCACUGAGAGAGAAGGCCGAGAGAGGAGCAGAGAUCAGGGCAGGGACGACUACGAUGAAAGGGAAAGCAGGAACAGAGACAGAGGUUCUCAUGGAAGAGAGCGGCGCCGUAGCCGAAGCAGGAGCAGAGACCGCGAGAAGGAAAGGGGGAGGGACAGGGGCAGAGACCGUGGCAACGAGAGAAGCUGGGAGCGCGGCACCGAGCGUGAACGUGAUCGCUACAGAUGA